rnacentral:rRNA from 1 species
UACGUAGGUGGCAAGCGUUAUCCGGAAUUAUUGGGCGUAAAGCGCGCGCAGGCGGUUUGUUAAGUCCGUUGUGAAAGCCCCGAGCUCAACUUGGGAAUUGCAGUGGAUACUGGCAGGCUGGAGUACGGUAGAGGAAGGUGGAAUUCCCGGUGUAGCAGUGAAAUGCGUAGAUAUCGGGAGGAACACCAGUGGCGAAGGCGGCCUUCUGGACCAGUACUGACGCUCAUGCACGAAAGCGUGGGGAGCAAACAGG